GGAGCGUCGACCAACGUGCUGAUCUUUGCUGCUUACUUCUAGGAACGACCUUCCCUGUCCUACAGUCGUCUGGAAUGACUCCUGAAGAAAGAGACUGUGAAAAAAUUAUAGGCAGAAGCUGCAGCGCCGCCUCCUUCCACGGAGGCUUCUUUUCUGCACUGCCGAUGCGGGCUGCUCAGGGCGGCGCUCUCCCGCGGCGGUUGGUGGAGCCCCAAUGGCUGCCCUGGCCAGCUUUUUUUUUUUUUUUCGCCGAUGCUGGCGCAGGGAGCGGGGUUCAUUGUUGGCCAAGGCGCGGCAGCCAGCGCGAGGCGGGUUAUUGUUGGGGCUGAAAUCGGAGCGAGUUUAUUCGGGCACAAUAGAAUCGCAGCCUGUGUGCAACUUGUUGCGCGUCGCUGUAACUCCGGUUACACUCGGCAUUAUGAAGCGCUGCGCCUGUUGACAACAAAUGCUUCGAGUAGCGAGACACGCUCCUGGAUGGCCCGUGUCUUGUGGCUACUUCUGUGCAGCGCUGAUAACGCAGAUGAUUUCCGUGUGCAGUUGGCACCUGCAAGAGCUCGUCCAAAGCAGCGCACUUGUGCUAGCGUUAGUUUCUAUAUUUCAAUCGGUAUCUUGUACACAAUAGGCAAAAUCAGUAUCUCGUCAAAAGUGCGCUUUUAUUUACAAAGUUCUGUCUGCGCAAUGACACCUUCCCGACGCAAGAAAGUAGACCACUUUCAGCGUGAAGAAAGUCACAACAGUAACACUGUAUUUGGAUUUGAAGAAAUUUAAUGACUUAUGCUCAAUUUUGUGAUUUAGGGAUUUUGGUCAAAUUUUUAAAUUAUUUGCCUUACCACAUGGACUUCUUGCACCUCUGCAGCACUGUCCACAGGUUCCUUGCCUUCACUAAGAAAAUCAAAGCACUGGUGCAGCUCAGAGUAGAGGCUACUUACGUGGACACGCACAGCCGUUUUGCCAA